rnacentral:rRNA from 1 species
CAAUAGCGUAUAUUAAAGUUGUUGCAGUUAAAAAGCUCAUAGCUGAACUGAUAUCAUGAGCCUAUAUCUACCUUAAUUGGUUUGAUGUGUUGGCAUUGUGAUACAAAUUUGUUACACGUUGUCCUUUUGGAUAAUGUAGUAUCAAACUUUUACUUUGAGUAAAUUAGAGUGUUUCAAGCAGGUUUUCUGCUCCUGAAUACUUCAGCAUGGAAUAAUAAUACAAGACUUCUGUUUUGCAUUUAUUGGUUGGAAUACAGAAGUAAUGGUUAAUAGGAACAGCUGGGGACAUUCGUAUUCAUCAGUCAGAGGUGAAAUUCUUAGAUUUGAUGAAGACGAACUAACGCGAAAGCAUUUGUCAAAAAUGUUUUCAUUAG